rnacentral:rRNA from 1 species
CAAGCGGAUCUCUUAAAGCCGUUCUCAGUUCGGACUGUAGGCUGCAACUCGCCUACACGAAGCUGGAAUCGCUAGUAAUCGCGGAUCAGCACGCCGCGGUGAAUACGUUCCCGGGCCUUGUACACACUGCCCGUCACACCAUGAGAGUCUGUAACACCCAAAGCCGGUGGGAUAACCUUUAUAGGAGUCAGCCGUCUAAGGUAGGACAGAUGAUUAGGGUGAAGUCGUAACAAGGUAGC